AAUCAACGCUGGCGGCGUGCCUCAGACAUGCAAGUCGAACGAUUAAGACUCUCUUCGGAGAGUGCAUAAAGUGGCGCACGGGUGAGUAACACGUAAGUAAUCUACCUUUGGGUGGGGAAUAACAGUCGGAAACGACUGCUAAUACCGCAUAACGCAGCGGCUCCUUAUGGAGACAGUUGUUAAAGAUUUAUCGCCUAAAGAGGAGCUUGCGGCAGAUUAGCUAGNGGUAAGGUAACGGCUUACCAAGGCGACGAUCUGUAUCCGACCUGAGAGGGUGGUCGGACACACUGACACUGAAUAACGGGUCAGACUCCUACGGGAGGCAGCAGUCGGGAAUUUUGGGCAAUGGGCGAAAGCCUGACCCAGCAACGCCGCGUGAAGGAUGAAGUCUUUCGGGUA
rnacentral:rRNA from 1 species